rnacentral:rRNA from 1 species
UACAGAGGGUGCAAGCGUUAAUCGGAAUUACUGGGCGUAAAGCGUGCGUAGACGGUUAUGUAAGUCGGGUGUGAAAGCCCCGGGCUCAACCUGGGAAUUGCAUUCGAGACUGCAUAGCUAGGGUGCGGAAGAGGGAAGCGGAAUUUCCGGUGUAGCGGUGAAAUGCGCAGAUAUCAGGAGGAACACCGGUGGCGAAGGCGGGUCUCUGGGCCGUAACUGACGCUGAGGAGCGAAAGCAUGGGGAGCGAACAGG